rnacentral:rRNA from 1 species
GACGAACGCUGGCGGCGUGGAUUAGGCAUGCAAGUCGAGCGACGGCCCUUCGGGGUACGGAGCGGCGAACGGGUGAGUAACACGUGAACAACCUGUCCCUACAUUCCGGAUAAUUGGCCGAAAGGCCUUGUAAUACGGGCGAGGAUCUCUGGAAGGCAUCUUCUGGAGAGGGAACACGCAAGUGGUGCGGGGAGGGGUUCGCGUCCUAUCAGGUAGUUGGCGGGGUAACGGCCCACCAAGCCUACGACGGGUAGCUGGUCUGAGAGGAUGGUCAGCCACAUUGGAACUGAGACACUGUCCAGACUCCUACGGGAGGCUGCAGUCGAGAAUCUUGCACAAUGCACGAAAGUGUGAUGCGGCGACGCCGCGUGAAGGAUGAAGGCCCUUGGGUCGUAAACUUCUUUUAGAGGGGAAGAAACCCGAG